UAUAAGAUAUUUUUUAGAAACAAAGAAUUUAAUGGGGCAGCUUCUCUUUCACGCAUUUUGUACUUCAUUGGGUUCAAAUAUUAAAUGUUCAAUGUGUAUGUGUCGCAUGCGCAAAACAGCAGCUUGAUGGGUGCUCAGCUAGUCGACGCAUGACCACGCUUGACGUUGGUUAGUGACAGAUCAACAAAAAUCGAGCAAGUGAUUUCAAUUUAGGACAAGUGUCCGAAAUACUAGAAUUAAAUCAGUUAUACCGGUUAAUGCAAUUGUGUACAUGCUUAUUUAUUAAUUCUCUUCCUUCUGUAGCGUUAAUCGUUGCAAACAAUUCAUUAUUUAUCCUAAUUCCUAAACGACAUUACAUCCAAAUCAAGUUUGUUUUUGAACUUGUUAGGGAUAAAAAGUUUUGUGGUAAAAAAGCAUAAUGGAAGAUUCUUCAAAAUGUGAAGAUGGUGAAUCGAGUAAUAUGACUUCUGCGUGCUCUCAAGUGACUCAGGCACCUUCUGAUACGAAAUCUUUGGUAGACAAUAAAAAUACACAAGUUCGCGUUGUCCGAGGUACAAAGAAACUCAAGCUUGAUAAUAAUGAUCCUGUGAAUGUCGAGAAAAAGGAUGUAAAAGAUGAAGAAGCUACAGAAGCUAAAGUGAGAUCUCUAAAACGUUCUUGCGAACUCUGGUCUAUGGAGGAUAAGAAUACCUUUUUUAAAGCACUCAAUGAAUACGGCAAAGAUUUUGAUGCAUUGCAAAGUUAUUUUCUAAGUCAAGGCAAAAAGCGUGGUCUUUCAGAUGCUAUGAUAAAAAAUAAGGAGCAAAUUCGACAUUUUUAUUAUAGAACAUGGCUGAAAAUAUCAAAACAUCUCAAAUUCUCCGAAGAUGUGAAAAAAACCACCCAAGAAUUAUAUGGAUUGAUAAACUAUGGUGAACUUAGAAGAAAACUACCUCGUAUUCAUGAGAAGGUUCAUUUAAGAUUAAAUGAAUUGGUGUACUGGGGAUCUACACAAGUCAGACUCAGAGGAAAGACUAUGAGAAUUAAAACACCUAUAUGUAGAGCACUUAGAAAAUUAAACCAGCUGGAAGAUUGGCAGGAAGAAAUCAAAUUACCAUCUAGAAUAACAAUAGAACUUCGACCGCGCAACAACACGGCUUGGUGGCAAGUACAAUCAGUGUCAAUGAAUCCAAGAGUGCGCACACUUCUUCCAAUACAAAGACGCCUCUCGAGUUUAUUGAUAUUUCUACAGCAACGAUGGCGACUUACAAAAUAUACGACAUGUUCAACUGUAGAAAAUCUCGUUGCUUCUCUUGACGAUGUAAAAGAUACUCGUUUAUUGCGAGUGGCUCCACCAGAAGGAUGUAAAAUUGCCUUGCCAAUGGUCAAUCUUGGAGAAUACCUUACUAGCAAUAGCGUCAGCUUAAAUUCAUAUGAAAAACGCCUCGGGCUGAAGAGCUCAAGAAUAGACCUGCUGGGAUCAGUUCAACAUUUGAAAGGAGUAGGGAAAAAAGGAAUCAAACGAAGCAAGUCGGAUAAAAAGAUCUUAAGUCGCACCGAUGAAAAUUGCACAGUGCCAGAUGUCAGUAGCGACAUGGAUCUUUUAGAAACAGGAAGCAUGUCCGAAAGACCAGCAAUCAUAAAUAACAUGGAGAAACCAUCGUCGGAACAUCAUUCAGAGCCCAAUAGAUUCCCUGGCAGAGAAACCGUCGAAAGAAUACGAAAAGGUUGGAACGUCGAGGAAGCAAAUACGAUUACUGUGGGCGAUCUCUUUUUAAUGUUCGGUCGUGAAUCAAAAAUUACUUUGGAAUAUUGGUGGGACUGGCUACCGAACGAACAGUACACAACCGAUUCACCGAGUACCAUGCGUGACGAUAGUUCAUGUUUGGUUUUACAAAAGCUAUUAUCACUGGCGAAACAUAAUUACGGCACAAACAAGGUAUAUGAUAACACAUCGGGAAGUAGCGAAACGGUAAUUUCAUCUCGAGUUCCAUCUAUUAAGGAAUCUACAUUUAGAAGACCUCUUAUUCCACAAACAUAUCAUAAGAUUGAUACGACUGAUGCUUUUAAAACACAACUUGAUAAAUUUAAAUCACGCUUUAGCAAGCGAGGAAGGACAGUGAGACAGAAAAGUCUCGUAAUACAGAGAGUUCUGCCUAUUAUACCUGCGCCAAAUACUAUAUCCAAUAUGCCAUCGGAAAAUUUGACGACUGACGAAAGUAAAAUCGGUGAACCCUCAUUAUGUCAAACGCAAACUGACAAAAUAAUAGCGGUAAAUGCGAAUGAGGCUCAGGACAAAACCUUCUUGGAUGCAUUAGAAGCGGGCGGAGAUGCGAAGAAUUCCAAUUCGAUUAUUACCAGUGCUACUCAAAUUCUUAAAGAAGGCGAGAAUCAGUGGUUGAACAGUGAGGUUGCGGAUUUUUCAUUAAGCAGCUUUUUGGGACAGCUUGAAUCGCCCAUGAAAGGCUCGCAAAGAAGUCAAGCGGGUGAACAAAUUAUGGAAGAUCGUCCUUCUUCCGAUGUUGUAUCCCAUAUGCAAUGCCUCAUGGGAGAAAACAGUGUGGACUACAUGGUGAAAUUUGCAAACCUGGCAUCGCAAAUCGCUUCCGACGAAAAUAAGAAAUAGAACAUCUCACCGCAAAGACGUCCGUGUUCCUAGAAGCAAAACCAGCCUUUUCCUCGACGAGUUGCGAAACCUAUCAAAAUGAUUCAUAGUGCUUACGUCCACGUGAUCAUCGACAUACACAUCUGUCUAGAAUUUCUGUUAACUACCCAGGUUGGACAUUUUCAAUUAAUCAUACGUAAUCCAUUUCGACUUGAAUUAAAUAAGGUAAAAGUAUCAAGGUUCCCUAUAUUGAGAACGAUUUAUGAAAACUGCUAAAAUACAUACAAAAAAAAUGGGGAAUUACCAUGCUUACAUCAUAAUUGCAACUUAACAUUUCAACUGAUUGCAGGUAUACAGAUUUUGCUACAGUUUCAUCAUAUGCUUGCGUGUUUUAGCAAAAAAUGAUGUGAAGCGUUUCUCAUUGCAAAAAUCAUAAAAAUUAGCGAUGCAAAAAAAAUAUGUUACAAUAUAAGGAAGAGCAUGGCUGUACCGGCAUGUACACACGAUGACAGUGUGUGCAUCAUGCUGUACUAUAAAUAAACUUAACAUAGGCGCUCACUGCGAUAUCUGAAUGCAAUCUGAAUCGUUCUGAAAUUCGCUUGAAACAUCCUAUCAUCUGGUCUGUACGUUUAAUGGGAUUUUGCAAUAAUGGUACAAUUAGGAUUUCGUUAGCUAUCUGAUCCAAGUAAUU
rnacentral:misc_RNA from 1 species